rnacentral:tRNA from 1 species
GCCAUGGUGGUGCAAAGGUUAAGCACUUGGCUGCUAACCAAAAGGUUGGUGGUUUGAACCCAUCCAUUGGUG